UCUGGCGGCAGUAGCGCGGUGGUCCCACCUGACCCCAUGCCGAACUCAGAAGUGAAACGCCGUAGCGCCGAUGGUAGUGUGGGGUCUCCCCA
rnacentral:rRNA from 4 species